AUUGAACGCUGGCGGCAGGCCUAACACAUGCAAGUCGAACGGUAACAGGAAGCAGCUUGCUGCUUCGCUGACGAGUGGCGGACGGGUGAGUAAUGUCUGGGAAACUGCCUGAUGGAGGGGGAUAACUACUGGAAACGGUAGCUAAUACCGCAUAACGUCGCAAGACCAAAGAGGGGGACCUUCGGGCCUCUUGCCAUCGGAUGUGCCCAGAUGGGAUUAGCUUGUUGGUGGGGUAACGGCGCACCAAGGCGACGAUCCCUAGCUGGUCUGAGAGGAUGACCAGCCACACUGGAACUGAGACACGGUCCAGACUCCUACGGGAGGCAGCAGUGGGGAAUAUUGCACAAUGGGCGCAAGCCUGAUGCAGCCAUGCCGCGUGUAUGAAGAAGGCCUUCGGGUUGUAAAGUACUUUCAGCGGGGAGGAAGGGAGUAAAGUUAAUACCUUUGCUCAUUGACGUUACCCGCAGAAGAAGCACCGGCUAACUCCGUGCCAGCAGCCGCAGUAA
rnacentral:rRNA from 1 species